GGAAGUGUGGAGUCUUAACCACUGGACCGCCAAGGAAGUCCCUAGAGUGUUACCCACCUGCCUGCCCUCAUCCCUGUACCUUUGGGCAGCCCCAGCUGCUGCAGUUCACUGGACAAGGACUCGCCAUCCACGCUAUGCUUGGCCGCACUGGAGAGGAUGAAACUCAGCACUGCCACUGUGGCCUUCACAUCACCCGACUCUGGGGGGAGCCGUGGGUGGAAUGGAGGGUGUCACUGCGGCCCCAGCCACCUCCUUGACACCCCACUAUCUUCAGCUCAGAGCCCCUAGGCCUCCUUGAGCCAUGAGCACCGCUACUGCCCCACUGGGAGUGGGCAGAGGACCCUAGGGCUGGCAAUGUCUUUCUUCCCUCGUGCUCCUCUGCUGAGGCAGGUCUGCGGACCCAGUGGGGUACUCACCAAACCUGGCAUCAGCGGUGAGCUUCAGGAUCUUCUCAUACUGUGGAGAAAGGAGGCCCUCAAGGGGUGCCGGACCCCCGCUCACUAGCCCCCAACCCCUGGCCUGGAUCCUGUGGUAAGGACACGAGGU